GGUGAGUGCUUUGGGGUGGGGUGACUGCGUACCUUUUGUAUAAUGGGUCAGCGACUUAUAUUCUGUAGCAAGGUUAACCGUAUAGGGGAGCCGAAGGGAAACCGAGUCUUAACUGGGCGUUAAGUUGCAGGGUAUAGACCCGAAACCCGGUGAUCUAGCCAUGGGCAGGUUGAAGGUUGGGUAACACUAACUGGAGGACCGAACCGACUAAUGUUGAAAAAUUAGCGGAUGACUUGUGGCUGGGGGUGAAAGGCCAAUCAAACCGGGAGAUAGCUGGUUCUCCCCGAAAGCUAUUUAGGUAGCGCCUCGUGAACUCAUCUUCGGGGGUAGAGCACUGUUUCGGCUAGGGGGUCAUCCCGACUUACCAACCCGAUGCAAACUGCGAAUACCGAAGAAUGUUAUCACGGGAGACACACGGCGGGUGCUAACGUCCGUCGUGAAGAGGGAAACAACCCAGACCGCCAGCUAAGGUCCCAAAGUCACAGUUAAGUGGGAAACGAUGUGGGAAGGCUCAGACAGCCAGGAUGUUGGCUUAGAAGCAGCCAUCAUUUAAAGAAAGCGUAAUAGCUCACUGGUCGAGUCGGCCUGCGCGGAAGAUGUAACGGGGCUAAACUGUGCACCGAAGCUGCGGCAGCGACGCUUAUGCGUUGUUGGGUAGGGGAGCGUUCUGUAAGCCUGCGAAGGUGUCCUGUGAGGGAUGCUGGAGGUAUCAGAAGUGCGAAUGCUGACAUAAGUAACGAUAA
rnacentral:rRNA from 1 species